rnacentral:lncRNA from 1 species
CUGCUGCUCCUCGGAGCUCCUGGAAGCAGAAGUUGUGUUUUGCAAGAUGUUUACACUCAGCAAACACACGGGGAAAUGGUCAUUUGCAAGGCAGCUUUGGCCAGAAAGCGGCAACAGCCACACCAGCGAGUCCAAAAAUAGCUGGAGGAGCGAGCAGAGGGAAGGAGAAGUGGUGAAGUCUCGAAAUUUGUCACCCAGUGGGAAAAACAAACUCGCUGCCCACGUCUUGUUGCGCGCCUGGCAGGCAGACAGACAGCCCCGGCUCCAGGGGGUGAAUGGCAGCAGGAUUUCAGAGCUAAAAGAGAUGCCCCGAAUGCAGAAAUUGUGGUGCAACCGUGACGUCAGAUGGCUGGAGGUGACAUUAGGAUGCCAUGCAGAACACAACACCACCAGGAUUCACCACGUCCCACCUGACACAACAACCACGAGCUCAUCUUUUGUAGAAUUAUCCUCAGCUUUAAAAAACAAAACAUAAAAUAUGGGCCAGAGCAGCAGAAUAAUCUCAAAACAGGAUGUGCUUAAAGUUUCCAUCAUCGAAGAUCAGCUGCUUUUUAAUUAGUCACCAGAGGGACAGAGAAGAAAGUUGCUAAUUGUGAAAACAUCAUAAAAAUGCAAACACUGUGGCCCAGUUUUAUGAUGGCAACACCUUUCUGUGGAUGCAAGAGUGAGCCUGGAUUGGCUAAUGAAUGGAAAAAUCUUGGGAUUUUUCUUGAACAGCUCACCAAGAGGCAUCUGCAGUUAUAAAAUCAACCAUUUCCUUUGGAAAAAGAAUGGAAAUAUUUGACAAAAAUACCAUCAAGAUUGCUUGUUUGGGCUCGUUUUGUUUUGUGUUUUUUUUUUUUUUUUUUUAAAUAUAUCCCAGGAAUAAUCAAGAUGUGCAGUUUUUUUGAAAGAGAAAUCCUAAAUCAAGAUGGCUUUAUUGAAAACCUUGGUACUUUCAGCAUUUUAUGAUGCCUGAAAUCUUCUUCCCAGCUGCUUUUGUUUGCUGGUUCUGCCCUUUAAAAGGAUUCUGUGAUUCUAUGGGUGAUUAAGGCAGAUAAUGAGCUCUACACAAGUUUGUGCUCUGGGAAAUAAGAGAAGCAGAGAAGGUGCCUGAGGCAUUUCAGACCAACAAUUUAAGCUGGUUUCUCAUUUAGAUUUCUUGAAUUUUGGAAAUCCAGGCUGACCUCUCUCAGGCUUGACUUUUCAGAAAUGCUCUUGGAAAAUGAAGGUGCUGAGGACUCCUUUAAACAAAUUAAAAUUAUGUCUUGUUGGGCACAAAAUUCAAAUUGUAAUUCCCCAUUAUUUACCAGCCUGAAGGAAUUGAUAAUUUAAUGUUUUCCUGAUGAAGUGUUUGAAACUAUUGUGCUCUUUUGUUUGUUUGUUUUGUAAUUUUGAGGGAAAAUGCAUUAAAAUAAUUGAGAAAGAAGAAAAAAAAAGCUGUUGAAACGUGGUUUUCUU